rnacentral:rRNA from 1 species
GUUCCAUUCAAAUUUCUGCCCUAUCAACUUUCGAUGGUAAGGUAUUGGCUUACCAUGGUUUCAACGGGUAACGGGGAAUUAGGGUUCGAUUCCGGAGAGGGAGCCUGAGAAACGGCUACCACAUCCAAGGAAGGCAGCAGGCGCGCAAAUUACCCAAUCCCGACCGGGGAGGUAGUGACAAUAAAUACUGAUACAGGGCUCUUUUGGGUCUUGUAAUUGGAAUGAGUACAAUUUAAAUACCUUAACGAGGAACAAUUGGAGGGCAAGUCUGGUGCCAGCAGCCGCGGUAAUUCCAGCUCCAAUAGCGUAUAUUAAAGUUGUUGCAGUUAAAAAGCUCGUAGUUG